AGUGAACGCUGGCGGUAGGCCUAACACAUGCAAGUCGAACGGCAGCACAGUAAGAGCUUGCUCUUACGGGUGGCGAGUGGCGGACGGGUGAGGAAUACAUCGGAAUCUACUUUUUCGUGGGGGAUAACGUAGGGAAACUUACGCUAAUACCGAAUACGACCUACGGGAGAAAGCAGGGGAUCUUCGGACCUUGCGCGAUAGAAUGAGCCGAUGCCGGAUUAGCUAGUUGGCGGGGUAAAGGCCCACCAAGGCGACGAUCCGUAGCUGGUCUGAGAGGAUGAUCAGCCACACUGGAACUGAGACACGGUCCAGACUCCUACGGGAGGCAGCAGUGGGGAAUAUUGGACAAUGGGCGCAAGCCUGAUCCAGCCAUACCGCGUGGGUGAAGAAGGCCUUCGGGUUGUAAAGCCCUUUUGUUGGGAAAGAAAAGCAGCAUGUUAAUACCCCGCUGUUCUGACGGUACCCAAAGAAUAAGCACCGGCUAACUUCGUG
rnacentral:rRNA from 1 species